rnacentral:rRNA from 1 species
CAGCAGCCGCGGGAAUACGUAGGGGGCAAGCGUUAUCCGGAUUUACUGGGUGUAAAGGGAGCGCAGACGGCAGUGCAAGUCUGAAGUGAAAGGCGUGGGCUCAACCCAUGAACUGCUUUGGAAACUGUAUAGCUUGAGUGUCGGAGGGGUAAGCGGAAUUCCUAGUGUAGCGGUGAAAUGCGUAGAUAUUAGGAAGAACACCAGUGGCGAAGGCGACUUUCUGGACGAAGACUGACGCUGAGGCGCGAAAGCCAGGGGAGCGAACGGGAUUAGAGACCCGUGUAGUCCCUGUCUCUUAUAC